rnacentral:rRNA from 1 species
GACAUUCUGUGAAAGCAGAACUCCGCAAGGACAACGAAACUAGGUGCUGCAUGGCUGUCGUCAGCUCGUGCCGUGAGGUGGUUGGGUUAACGUCCCGUAACGAGCGCAACCCCUAUCAUUAGUUGCCAUCAGGUCAUGCUGGGGACUCUAAUGAGACUGCCCGCGCAAGCGGUGAGGAAGGUGGGGACGACGUCAAGUCAUCACGGCCCUUACGUCCAGGGCUACACACGUGCUACAAUGGUAGAUACAGCAGGUUGCCACAUGGUAACAUGGAGCUAAUCCCAAAAGUCUAUCUCAGUUCGGAUUGAGGUCUGCAACUCGACCUCAUGAAGCUGGAUUCGCUAGUAAUCGAAAAUCAGCAAUGUUUCGGUGAAUACGUUCCCGGGCCUU